GGAGGCAGCAGUGGGGAAUAUUGGACAAUGGGGGGAACCCUGAUCCAGCCAUGCCGCGUGUGUGAAGAAGGCCUUUUGGUUGUAAAGCACUUUAAGCGAGGAGGAGGCUCUUUUAGUUAAUACCUAGGAUGAGUGGACGUUACUCGCAGAAUAAGCACCGGCUAACUCUGUGCCAGCAGCCGCGGUAAUACAGAGGGUGCGAGCGUUAAUCGGAUUUACUGGGCGUAAAGCGUACGUAGGCGGCUUUUUAAGUCGGAUGUGAAAUCCCUGAGCUUAACUUAGGAAUUGCAUUCGAUACUGGGAAGCUAGAGUAUGGGAGAGGAUGGUAGAAUUCCAGGUGUAGCGGUGAAAUGCGUAGAGAUCUGGAGGAAUACCGAUGGCGAAGGCAGCCAUCUGGCCUAAUACUGACGCUGAGGUACGAAAGCAUGGGGAGCAAACAGGAUUAGAUACCCUGGUAGUCCAUGCCGUAAACGAUGUCUACUAGCCGUUGGGGCCUUUGAGGCUUUAGUGGCGCAGCUAACGCGAUAAGUAGACC
rnacentral:rRNA from 1 species